ACCUGGUUGAUCCUGCCAGUAGUCAUAUGCUUGUCUA
rnacentral:rRNA from 1 species